rnacentral:rRNA from 1 species
UACGGAGGGUGCGAGCGUUGUCCGGAAUCACUGGGCGUAAAGGGCGCGUAGGCGGCUCGGUAAGUAGGAGGUGAAAUCCUGCGGCUUAACCGCAGGGCUGCCUUCUAAACUGCCGGGCUUGAGCACAGUAGAGGCAGGUGGAAUUCCCGGUGUAGCGGUGGAAUGCGUAGAGAUCGGGAAGAACAUCGGUGGCGAAGGCGGCCUGCUGGGCUGUUGCUGACGCUGAGGAGCGAAAGCGUGGGGAGCGAACAGG